CCUACGGGGGGCAGCAGUCGAGAAUCAUUCACAAUGGGGGAAACCCUGAUGGUGCGACGCCGCGUGGGGGAAUGAAGGUCUUCGGAUUGUAAACCCCUGUCAUGUGGGAGCAAAUUAAAAAGAUAGUACCACAAGAGGAAGAGACGGCUAACUCUGUGCCAGCAGCCGCGGUAAUACAGAGGUCUCAAGCGUUGUUCGGAAUCACUGGGCGUAAGGCGUGCGUAGGCUGUUUCGUAAGUCGUGUGUGAAAGGCGCGGGCUCAACCCGCGGACGGCACAUGAUACUGCGAGACUAGAGUAAUGGAGGGGGAACCGGAAUUCUCGGUGUAGCAGUGAAAUGCGUAGAUAUCGAGAGGAACACUCGUGGCGAAGGCGGGUUCCUGGACAGUAACUGACGCUGAGGCACGAAGGCCAGGGGAGCGAAAGGGAUUAGAUACCCGAGUAGUC
rnacentral:rRNA from 1 species